AAGUCGAACGGCAGCAUGAUCUAGCUUGCUAGAUUGAUGGCGAGUGGCGAACGGGUGAGUAAUACAUCGGAACGUGCCCUGUAGUGGGGGAUAACUAGUCGAAAGAUUAGCUAAUACCGCAUACGACCUGAGGGUGAAAGUGGGGGACCGCAAGGCCUCAUGCUAUAGGAGCGGCCGAUGUCUGAUUAGCUAGUUGGUGAGGUAAAGGCUCACCAAGGCGACGAUCAGUAGCUGGUCUGAGAGGACGAUCAGCCACACUGGGACUGAGACACGGCCCAGACUCCUACGGGAGGCAGCAGUGGGGAAUUUUGGACAAUGGGGGCAACCCUGAUCCAGCAAUGCCGCGUGUGUGAAGAAGGCCUUCGGGUUGUAAAGCACUUUUGUCCGGAAAGAAAUCGCACUUACUAAUAUUAGGUGUGGAUGACGGUACCGGAAGAAUAAGGACCGGCUAACUACGUGCCAGCAGCCGCGG
rnacentral:rRNA from 1 species